GACUAUUCCAGUGGCCUAAGUGGUUAGAGCAUCCAUCUCAAAUGUGGGAGGUUGUGGGUUCAAACCUUGUCUGAGUCA